rnacentral:rRNA from 1 species
UACGUAGGGUGCAAGCGUUGUCCGGAAUUAUUGGGCGUAAAGAGCUCGUAGGCGGUCUGUCGCGUCGUCCGUGAAAACCUGCAGCUCAACUGCAGGCUUGCGGUCGAUACGGGCAGGCUAGAGUUCGGUAGGGGAGACUGGAAUUCCUGGUGUAGCGGUGAAAUGCGCAGAUAUCAGGAGGAACACCAAUGGCGAAGGCAGCUCGCUGGGACGGUACUGACGCUGAGACGCGAAAGCGUGGGGAGCAAACAGG